GAUGAACGCUAGCGGGAGGCCUAACACAUGCAAGCCGAGCGGUAUUUGUCUUUCGGGACAGAGAGAGCGGCGUACGGGUGCGGAACACGUGUGCAACCUACCUUUAUCAGGGGGAUAGCCUUUCGAAAGGAAGAUUAAUACCCCAUAAUAUAUUGAAUGGCAUCAUUUGAUAUUGAAAACUCCGGUGGAUAGAGAUGGGCACGCGCAAGAUUAGAUAGUUGGUAGGGUAACGGCCUACCAAGUCAGUGAUCUUUAGGGGGCCUGAGAGGGUGAUCCCCCACACUGGUACUGAGACACGGACCAGACUCCUACGGGAGGCAGCAGUGAGGAAUAUUGGACAAUGGGUGAGAGCCUGAUCCAGCCAUCCCGCGUGAAGGACGACGGCCCUAUGGGUUGUAAACUUCUUUUGUAUAGGGAUAAACCUACUCUCGUGAGAGUAGCUGAAGGUACUAUACGAAUAAGCACCGGCUAACUCCGUGCCAGCAGCCGCGGUAAUACGGAGGGUGCAAGCGUUAUCCGGAUUUAUUGGGUUUAAAGGGUCCGUAGGCGGAUCUGUAAGUCAGUGGUGAAAUCUCAUAGCUUAACUAUGAAACUGCCAUUGAUACUGCAGGUCUUGAGUAAAGUAGAAGUGGCUGGAAUAAGUAGUGUAGCGGUGAAAUGCAUAGAUAUUACUUAGAACACCAAUUGCGAAGGCAGGUCACUAUGUUUUAACUGACGCUGAUGGACGAAAGCGUGGGGAGCGAACAGGAUUAGAUACCCUGGUAGUCCACGCCGUAAACGAUGCUAACUCGUUUUUGGGGCUUUAAGCUUCAGAGACUAAGCGAAAGUGAUAAGUUAGCCACCUGGGGAGUACGUUCGCAAGAAUGAAACUCAAAGGAAUUGACGGGGGCCCGCACAAGCGGUGGAUUAUGUGGUUUAAUUCGAUGAUACGCGAGGAACCUUACCAAGGCUUAAAUGGGAAUUGACAGGUUUAGAAAUAGACUUUUCUUCGGACAAUUUUCAAGGUGCUGCAUGGUUGUCGUCAGCUCGUGCCGUGAGGUGUUAGGUUAAGUCCUGCAACGAGCGCAACCCCUGUCACUAGUUGCCAUCAUUCAGUUGGGGACUCUAGUGAGACUGCCUACGCAAGUAGAGAGGAAGGUGGGGAUGACGUCAAAUCAUCACGGCCCUUACGCCUUGGGCCACACACGUAAUACAAUGGCCAGUACAGAGGGCAGCUACCAGGCGACUGGAUGCGAAUCUCGAAAGCUGGUCUCAGUUCGGAUUGGAGUCUGCAACUCGACUCUAUGAAGCUGGAAUCGCUAGUAAUCGCAUAUCAGCCAUGAUGCGGUGAAUACGUUCCCGGGCCU
rnacentral:rRNA from 1 species